rnacentral:rRNA from 1 species
GAUGAACGCUGGCGGCGCGCCUAACACAUGCAAGUCGAACGAUUAAAGCACCUUCGGGUGUGUAUAAAGUGGCGAACGGCUGAGUAACACGUGGGCAACCUGCCCCUCUCAUUGGGAUAGCCACGGGAAACCGUGGAUAAUACCGAAUACUUCGAGACUUCCGCAUGGAAGACUCGAGAAAGCUCCGGCGGAGAGGAAUGGGCCCGCGGCCUGUUAGCUUGUUGGUGGGGUAACGGCCUACCAAGGCAAUGAUGGGUAGCUGGGUUGAGAGACCGACCAGCCAGAUUGGGACUGAGACACGGCCCAGACUCCUACGGGAGGCAGCAGUGGGGAAUCUUGCACAAUGGGCGAAAGCCUGAUGCAGCGACGCCGCGUGCGGGAUGAAGGCCUUCGGGUUGUAAACCGCUUUCAGCAGGGACGAGGCGAAAGUGACGGUACCUGCAGAAGAAGCCCCGGCUAACUACGUGCCAGCAGCCGCGGUAAUACGUAGGGGGCAAGCGUUAUCCGGAUUCAUUGGGCGUAAAGCGCUCGUAGGCGGUCUGUUAGGUCGGGAGUUAAAUCCGGGGGCUCAACCCCCGUUCGCUCCCGAUACCGGCAGACUUGAGUUUGGUAGGGGAAGGUGGAGUUCCUAAUGUAGCGGUGGAAUGCGCAGAUAUUAGGAAGAACACCAGUGGCGAAGGCGGCCUUCUGGGCCAUAACUGACGCUGAGGAGCGAAAGCUAGGGGAGCAAACAGG